rnacentral:rRNA from 1 species
GACGAACGCUGGCGGCGUGCUUAACACAUGCAAGUCGAACGAAGUGGCGAACGGGUUAGUAACGCGUAAUCAACCUGCCGUUCAGAAGGGUACAACAGUUGGAAACGACUGCUAAUACCGCAUACUGAAGGAGGGGGUUGCGUCGGCUUCGAUAGUUGGAGGGGUAACGGCCCACCAAGGCGAUGAUCCGUAGCCGGUCUUGAAGGGUGAACGGCCAAAAUGGGAAUGGGACACGGCCCAGAAUCCUAAGGGAGGGCGCAGUUGGGAAUCUUCCGAAAUGGAGGGAAGUCUGGAGGAGCAAAGCCCGGGGAUGUAUGACGGCCCUCGGGUUUGAAAGCUCUGUUAAUCGGGAAGCGGUACCGGAAUAGAAAGCCACGGCUAACUACGUGCCAGCAGCCGCGGUAAUAC